AACGAACGCUGGCGGCAUGCCUAACACAUGCCAGUCGAACGAGACCUUCGGGUCUAGUGGCGCAUGGGUGCGUAACGCGUGGGAACCUGCCCUUAGGUUUGGAAUAACUCCCCGAAAGGGGUGCUAAUACCGGAUAAUGUCUUCGGACCAAAGAUUUAGCGCCUUUGGAUGGGCCCGCGUUGGAUUAGCUAGUUGGUAGGGUAAAAGCCUACCAAGGGGAAGAUCCAUAGCUGGUCUGAGAGGAUGAUCAGCCACACUGGGGCUGGGACGCGGCCCAGACUCCUACAGGAGGCAGGAGUGGGGAAUAUUGGACAAUGGGCGGAAUCCUGAUCCAGCAAUGCCGCGUGAGUGAUGAAGGCCUUAGGGUUGUAAAGCUCUUUUACCCGGGAUGAUAAUGACGGUACCGGGAGAAUAAGCACCGGCUAACUCCGUG
rnacentral:rRNA from 1 species